rnacentral:rRNA from 1 species
UACGAGGGGGCAAGGCGUUGUUCGGAAUUAUUGGGCGUAAAGGGCGCGUAGGCGGUUUGACAAGUCUGAUGUGAAAUCUAUGGGCUCAACCCAUAGCCUGCAUUAGAAACUGUCGGGCUUGAGUAUGGGAGAGGUGAGUGGAAUUUCCGGUGUAGCGGUGAAAUGCGUAGAUAUCGGAAGGAACACCUGUGGCGAAAGCGGCUCACUGGACCAUAACUGACGCUGAGGCGCGAAAGCUAGGGGAGCAAACAGG